GUUGCCUUCUCUACCUCUUUGCUCUCUCUAAGCGCAUACACAGACAGAAAGGAAAACUUGGUAGCCACUUUUACUCGUGAUUUUGGUCGAUUUGGAGUUGGAUUUCGAAGAUGAUGAAGUUGAAGAAAAGAUAGAUUAAGGCAUAAUUUUAGCACUUGAAGGAGUCAUUUGGAGUCAUUUAGAGCUUGAGGAGUAGGAUUUGCAUUGCGAAAGUGAACUACGAAGUUGAAGAUCAAGAUAAAAUAAUUCAUCUUAGUAGCAAACAAGGAGGAGAUGACGUGAUUGAAGAAAUUGUGUUUCUAUCUUCGCUGUCCCUUUUGAGGUGAUGACCACAUACAUGCAAGUGCUAUUUUCAUACUUUUGAUAGCAGAAAGAAAAAUCCGUGUGUAAUAUUGAUGUUCAUGUGAUAAUAGGUUGACUCAGUUCAUAUA